rnacentral:lncRNA from 1 species
CUGGGCUGGAGGUAUGUCUAGCUGUCCUCAAAACUUUUCUAUAGGUGUGAAAUAUUUUAUUUAAAUAAAUUGACCACGGUUGCACAUGUCUAUAACAUCAACACUCUGUGUCUGAGGAAAGAAAAUCGGAAGUUCAAGCCCAGCCAGGACAAUUAAUAAUUUCACAAGAUUAUGUCUCAAAAUUUAAAAAAAAAAAAGUCUGAAGAUACAGCUCAUUGCAAAGGCUAUGUGUUCGAUCCCCAGCAACACAAACACACACAAGUUUUGAGGACAUAGCUCACAGGAGUGCUUGCCUGGCACGCAUGAGACCCUGAAACAUGACUGCACACUAGGAAACAUCCUGACUGAAUUCUGGAGCAGCAGCGGAGGUGAACGCUGCAGUGGUCACCAAUGUUUCCAGUCCGUUCCUAGGUAUAUGCUAGAACUCUACUAUUCCACAAGGCUUGAAAUUCCCUGGCCACGGGCCUUGCUUUGGUCACUGAAAGCAGCACAACAUGAUGAAUACAAAUUCCGGUUCACCAUUAAGCGCGUUUCUUUUCCUCUGUCAUAAUGACUGAUGACAUUCCAGACGGUGCGAGCUGUGCACUACUCACGUCUCAGGAAGAAGAUGAGCAGCAGAGCUCCCUGCAGCCUGAAGUGAGGUCUCACCGGCAGUCAUAAGUAGACUUUUGUUCUUCUAACCUCUCAUAGUUCAGGGGUAGAUUGUUACUUGAACAUAAUCUAGUCCACUAUAGAAAUAAAGAGAGCUAGAAUAUCGGCCCAAUCAGUCCAGAAAAAAGGGAAAGGGGAAACAGUGAAUUAGGGGAAGGUUUGUGCUCAAGAUUCACGCCUAGAAACACCAGAUGCUUUUUCUUUUGUUUGUUUGUUUUGGCAGCAACAAAUCUCCAAGAGGAAGUGGAGAAGUUAGCAGUCAUUAUUGAAGCACUGGGGCCCAGAUCUUAUUCUAUGGACCUAUGGAUGUGUUGUAGAAAGGCAUAUGACAAAGGUGCCAGAGUUUGCUGCUAUACUCCGUGCCUCUCACUUACACGGCUGUAAAACCAGUAGACGGAAUCCACAGACGCACAACCCACAGAUACAGAGGGCCGUCAGUCACCAUAAAGACAACAGAGUGGAGGUUUGGAGGAUACUGGCUAUGUAUAGGUGAGAAGAAACUGUGAUAAAGAAAUAGUAAAAAAUCAACAAAAUACGAGCAGUGUGAUAGCGAUGCAGAAACUUGGUCAACAACUUAGAGUUGAUAAAAUGGAUUUCGAGCUUCCAAAGAAAAAAGAGCAUGAGAUUGCUGUUUCCUCACACACGGCGUGCACAGAGACACACACACAGUGUACACACAGCUUCUAAUGAUGUGGGCACCCAACGAGGAGAAGCCAACACGACGGGGCUGCUCAGAUGAGCCGGUGUAUUCAGGGCCUUCCCAAGCUCCAGUCCUAUUUUGCCACUAGAGUCGUGUCUUCCCGAUGUGAGAUCUUCUACUUAUAACCACUAUCCAGAG